rnacentral:lncRNA from 1 species
GGUAGCAGGCAAGAGUGUGGUUAUCGUUGGACCAGGAUUCAGGAUCUGACUGAGUAGCUGACUCUUAAUCCAGUUUGUGUUGAUCACCAGGAGGAUCUGGACCUCAGUAUUACCACAUCUAGAGGUCAAGGAAGCUUUUCCUGAUCCACUAACUAAGGACAAUCAAACCCUUCAUGAUCUAGAAUCUGGAGACUGUGUCUUCUGGGAAUAGUAUCAGAGAAAGACUGCCCUUACUGCCCACAUGUAGCAAAACUUUGAGACGUUGAAUUAUGGGUCCAUAAUCUCACAACUCAGAGGGGCACCUCUAGACUCUUGGAACUGUAUAUCUAUUGGAGACUUUAAGGUAAAGCUGAACAGAGAGACGUUUUUCUCCAGAAGCAGACAGCACCAUAGUCAUGGACAGCUUUCCCAAGAUCACAGAUCAAGACUUCUCUGCCGUCAUGAGACUCAUAACCUCUUAAUUUUUUCUUGCUUAUGCUUCUGUGAACAAUAGAAUUGGAAAAGGGGUGGUCCCGCGUGCACCCAUAGGGUAUACUUUUAUUUGUGGAGGAUUUUGCUGCCAACCUUAUACAUGGGCAAACUUAUGCCUUCAUGGAUGGAAGAUAAAGGGCUAAUAUGGGUUAGAAAUUUUAAUGGUACCUUUGUUUCUCCAUAAUCAUUCAGAAACAGAACACUGGUCCACUCUUGUUAACCUACAUCAUAGGUUGAAGAGAACAUUGCCAGGAGGCCUUCAUCCUUCCAGAUGGGCACCAUUUGUUGGGUCUUUUUCCGUGGUAUGAAGAAAAUGAAGCAAUGAUUAGAAAUUGGUCCCUCGGCCGGGCACAAUGGCUCAUGCCUGUAAUCCCAUCACUUUGGCAGGCCGAGGCGGGUGGAUCACCUGAGGUCAGGAGUUUGAGACCAGCCUGACCAAUGUGGUGAAACGCCAUCUCUACUAAAAAUACAAAAAUUAGCUGGGUGUGAUGGUGCACACCUGUAAUCCAGCUACUCGGGAGGCUGAGACAGGAGAAUUGCUUGAACCUGGGAGGCAGAGGUUGCAGUGAGCCAAGAUCACCCCACUGCAUUCCAGGUUGGGCAACAGAGCAAGACUCUGUCUCAAAAAAAAAAGAAGAAAGAAAGAAA